rnacentral:rRNA from 1 species
GACGUAGGAGGCGAGCGUUAUCCGGAUUCACUGGGCGUAAAGCGCAUGUAGGCGGAUGUCUAAGUCGUGUGUUAAAGCCCCUGGCUCAACUGGGGGAGGUCAUGCGAGACUGGAUGACUUGAGGGCAACAGAGGCACGUGGAACUCCCGGUGUAGCGGUGGAAUGCGUAGAGAUCGGGAAGAACACCCGUGGCGAAGGCGGCGUGCUGGGUUGCAACUGACGCUGAGAUGCGAAAGUG